UUUUUGCCCAAAUCUAUUACUUCUUCACACAGUUCUUUCCCUCUCUUGCUCUCUUUCUGUCUCUCUCUCUCACACAAAGAAUCAAUCACCACCGCCCCUCAUCUCAGCAUCGCACACAACCAAUUGGGAAGAACCUAAUCGUUGAUAUCAAGAGUUUUGGGGUUUCGAGAGUUUUGUUGCCGAGAGAGAUAUUUGGGAAGAACCCAAUCAUUGAUAUCGCUGAUGGUGGCGCUCAGCCGCCAGAUGUUUCAUUAUCGCUGGAGAAUUCAUCGGAAUUGUAUGUGUCGCCGAGUCAUUUGUUAUCGCCGCUGGGUCAAGAAAUCUGAUCUGAAGUGGCUGGGAAUAGCAUACAGAGAUUUGUUCUUGCUCUUUGUUGUAUGGCAUUGUAUCUAUGGGUUCACAUGGCUCUUGAUAUAGUUGAUCAGAUGUUCGAAGCAGGUUUAACCUUAUCAAUAGAAACAUUUCAUUCCAUAUUACAUGCAUGCGGGGAGGGUUGUGACUACAACUUGGUACAACAUCACUAGUUUUUAAUUUCUCACUUUUCUAAAUCUGAUUAUGUUUCUCUCAGAUCUAUCAGCUACCAACUCCUUUUCUCUUUCCAUUAUUGUACCCUUUUGGUUGUUCUAUUUCAGUUCAAAACAUGAGUAAAGAAAAGUUCUUGAAGAUCCAGGAAAUAUUACUUGCGUGGAUUUGGCAUAGGCCAACAACCCUCUUCCAUAUCUGAUACUGCGGCACGAGCUUCAUUUUGGUUCUUCAGCUGCAAUGGGUAUUUGAGGUACUUCUCCAAUUCUUCAAUUCUCCAAUUCUUUAAAUUAAUAGUGAAUAGAGUAGUUUAAUGGUUGUCAAUAAUCCUUUGGUCACAGUUGUAUAUAACCAUUUAGAUUUAACUAACAGACUCCAUGUAUUAGUUUGAAUACAUCAUGGUUAAUGUAAAAGAAAUCAAAUAAACUGCUAAUGUUUUUUGCUGCAAAUAAUAUCAGAGCUUUCUUGGUGGAAAAUGUAUGAAUGAUACUCUCAUAAGUUUGUGGAAGAGAAACAAAUGUGUAAGAAUAGGA